AGAACGAACGCUGGCGGCAUGCCUAAUACAUGCAAGUCGAACGAACACUUCGGUGUUAGUGGCGCACGGGUGCGUAACGCGUGGGAAUCUGCCCUUGGGUUCGGAAUAACAGUUGGAAACGACUGCUAAUACCGGAUGAUAUCGAAAGAUCAAAGAUUUAUCGCCCAGGGAUGAGCCCGCGUAGGAUUAGCUAGUUGGUGAGGUAAAGGCUCACCAAGGCGACGAUCCUUAGCUGGUCUGAGAGGAUGAUCAGCCACACGUGGGACUGAGACACGGACCCAGACUCCUACGGGAGCAGCAGUAGGGAAUAGUUGGACGAAUGGGCGCAAGCCUGAUCCAGCAA
rnacentral:rRNA from 1 species